AACGCACAUUGCGCCCGCCAGUAUUCUGGCGGGCAUGCCUGUUCGAGCGUCAUUUCAACCAUCAAGCCCCCGGGCUUGUGUUGGGGACCCUGCGGCUGACCGCAGGCCCUGAAAACCAGUGGCGGGCUCGCUGUCACACCGAGCGUAGUAGCAAUCACCUCGCUCAGGGCGUGCUGCGGGUUCCGGCCGUAAAACAGCCAUCUUAAACCCAAGGUUGACCUCGGAUCAGGUAGGAAGACCCGCUGAACUUAA
rnacentral:misc_RNA from 1 species